GAGAGAUGGUCGAGUGGUUUAAGGCGGCGGUCUUGAAAACCGCAGAGGCGCAAGCCUCCAAGGGUUCGAAUCCCUUUCUCUCC
rnacentral:tRNA from 1 species